rnacentral:rRNA from 1 species
CCCUUAGAUGUUCUGGGCCGCACGCGCGCUACACUGACGAUGGCAACGAGUUUUUCCUUCGCCGAAAGGUGUGGGUAAUCUUUUGAAACAUCGUCGUGCUGGGGAUAGCUCAUUGCAAUUUUUGAUCUUGAACGAGGAAUUCCUAGUAAGCGCGAGUCAUCAGCUCGCGUUGAUUACGUCCCUGCCCUUUGUACACACCGCCCGUCGCUACUACCGAUUGAAUGGUUUAGUGAGGACUCCUGAUUGGCGCCGCCGCCCCGGCAACGGAGCAGCGGACUGCCGAAAAGUUGUUCAAACUUGAUCAUUUAGAGGAAGUAAAAGUCGUAACA